AUUGAACGCUGGCGGCAUGCUUUACACAUGCAAGUCGAACGGUAACAGGCCGCAAGGUGCUGACGAGUGGCGAACGGGUGAGUAAUGCAUCGGAACGUGCCCAGUCGUGGGGGAUAACUGCUCGAAAGAGCAGCUAAUACCGCAUACGAUCUAUGGAUGAAAGCGGGGGACCGUAAGGCCUCGCGCGAUUGGAGCGGCCGAUGUCAGAUUAGGUAGUUGGUGGGGUAAAGGCUCACCAAGCCAACGAUCUGUAGCUGGUCUGAGAGGACGACCAGCCACACUGGGACUGAGACACGGCCCAGACUCCUACGGGAGGCAGCAGUGGGGAAUUUUGGGCAAUGGGGGCAACCCUGAUCCAGCAAUGCCGCGUGCAGGAAGAAGGCCUUCGGGUUGUAAACUGCUUUUGUACGGAACGAAACGGUCUGGGUUAAUACCCUGGGCUAAUGACGGUACCGUAAGAAUAAGCACCGGCUAACUUCGUGCCAGCCGCCGCGGUAAAAC
rnacentral:rRNA from 1 species